UUGCUACUACCUCCGGCCGGAAUUACUUGUCGAAAUAUUACAUGUAUCUAGAUGCUUUUUAAACAUAGAUACAUCCAUAUUUGGGCAAAUUUGAGACAAGUAAUGUUGGUCGGAGGGAGUAGUUU
rnacentral:pre_miRNA from 1 species